rnacentral:misc_RNA from 1 species
GUAUUAGUAUGGGUGCACAUCAGUUUCGACAUAUAAGUGGUCCAAUGGAAUUAUAUCUCACCAGACAAACUGUCGUGGAGCCGUACAUAGUUCCAUUUCAAAUGCCGCCAUUCCCAAAACAUAUAUUCUUGAGUCUUGCAGAUAUUGCCGAACUACCAAAUAGGACUUUAGUUGACAUUAUGGCUAUUGUAGUCCACUUAGAUAUAAUUCAUCGCACAAUGUGGGGUCCAUUCAGGAAGAUUGUUGUCAUGGAUGCCAGGUGGUCUCUACAUGCCAUUAAAGUUUGGGGUGACUUGCUAAACAAAAAUGCACUUCGCUGGGUGUUGGCUAAGGAGAAUUGUAGCAUAAUAAUUGG